rfam:Camelus ferus unplaced genomic scaffold scaffold313, whole genome shotgun sequence.
GAGGGUAUAGCUCAGUGGUAGAGUACAUGCCCAGCAUGCACGAGGUCCUGGGUUCAAUCUCCAGCAUCUUCA